GACAGUCGCUACUGGAGGAUAACAAA
rnacentral:piRNA from 1 species